GUUAGCCAGGAUGGUCUCGAUCUCCUGACCUCGUGAUCCCCCUGCCUCGGCCUCCCAAAGUGCUGGCAUUACAGGCAUGAGCUACCACACCUGGCUGGGAAAUUUUUUAAAGAAUUUCCAUUUAUAGGUUGAACAAGCCCAACUGAGAGAGGGAAGCACCCUGACUGCCUCAGUUUGGAUACUCUUAGAGCUUGUUGUUACAGCAGUUGGUUUAUAUUUUUGUGGUUGUGUGUGUUGAUAUAGUCAUGGGAAAUUAGAGUUUGAUAAACUGAUAUAACUGAUAUUCUUCUGUAAUGCUGUUUGACUUCAAUAUUCCAUUUUUUUUUUAAGACAGGAUCUUACGCUGUUGCCCAGGCUGGAGUGCAAUAGUGUCAUCAUGGCUCACUGUAGCCUGGAACUGCUGGGCUCAAGGGAUCCUCCCAGCUCAGCCUCCCAAGUAGCUAGGAGUAAAGGUACAUGCCAUCAUGCCUAGCUUUUUUUUUUUUUAAUUUUUGGAGAGAUAAGUUCCCAUCAUGUUGCCCAGGCUGGUCUCUAACUCUUGGACUCAAGUGGUCCUCCCACAUCAGCCUCUCAAAGUGCUGAGAUUGCAGGUGUUAGCCACUGCACUUGGCCUGGCCCCAGUAUUCUUUGGGAUCUGGAGUUUGCUGUUGAAUGAGAAGGCAAGAUGAAAUUCCAUGUAGUCAGACUCCUACGCUGCUGUUCUAAGCAGGGUUGGGCCUGAUUAGUAGGUUAUAGAUGAUGUUUUUCUGUGGUGCUAUCUGGACCUAGUGCUCUUUGGCAUCUGGGAAGGUAUGGCCUUUAAAAAGCAAACUGCCAUGAGAACUGCUCUACCCCAAAUUUUGGUUCACAGCCUUCAUUUGAUUAUGUAUUGGGGCAAAAAUAGUUUAGCCAUGUGAACCUGUUUGUAAACUGGUGAGUUUCUAUUGCUAUUUCAUAGCUAAAGUUUUGAGGUAAAUGCUAUUGGAUCUUUGUGUCUGUGUGUGUAUACAUAUUUAGAUGUGUUUAUGUGUAUGUACAUUUAUUAUAUGUUGUGUCUACCAACUUUGCUUAUAAGCAAAAGAAUGCUUGUAAAUUAAGUAAAUAAGUUCAAGAAUUUUUUAAAUUCACUUGAUUAAGUAAAUUGUUAAUUUUAAAAACUAGCUUUAAAAUUAUUGGUAAGGUAAAAAUAGAAAUGUCUUUGGAAUUGCCAGCAUACCUUUUUGUCUGGGUUUUAUAUUUGUCUCUGCUAGAUAUUUUGGGGUGUCGGGGUUUAGCAUAAAAGGUUAUAAAACAAUAUACCCAGCCAAAACUAAAUAGUCUUUGUUUGUGUGACUUUUUUCAAUAAGUAAGACUAAUUCAAUGUUAGUUUAAUGAAAAUAGCUGAAUUUUCUGAAUUAUUGACACAAUACCCAUGUAUUUAACUUUAAAAGUGUUCUUACUUAGGUGAACAUCUGAUCUUCGCAGGCUAUAAAAAAGGUUAACAAGGAAAUAACUUGAAAUGAUGAUUAGCUUUGUCUAAUAUUUCAGUUUUCAGAAGUAAUCUAGAUAAAUCGUUUGAAAAAAUGAAAGAAUCAUGUACAUGUAAAUGGGAUAAAUGCUUGUAGCUGCACUUUUUAAUGUAAUUUGAAAUCUUGAAGUUAUUUAGGAUUGAAUAAUAGAUGCUUUUUGGCCAUCUGGGUCACUUCCAAUUAAGAAAGGAUUAUGGGGCCGGAUGUGGUGGCUCAGGCCUGUAAUCUCAGCACUUUGGGAGGCCAAGGCAGGCAGAUCACCUGAGAUCCGGAGUUCAAGACCAGCCUGGCCAACAUGGUGAAACCCCAUCUCUGCUAAAAAUACAAAAAUUAGCUGGGCACGGUGGCAGGCACCUGUAAUCCCAGUUUCUUGGAAGGCUGAGGCAGGAAAAUCACUUGAACCCAGGAGGCGGAGGUUGCAGUGAGCCAAGACCAUGCCAUUGCAUUCCAGCCUGAGUGACAAGAGCAAAACUCCGUCAAAAAAAAAGAAAAGAAAAAAAGAAAAGAAAGAAAGAAGGGGGGGGAGGGAGGGAGGGACAAAGAAAGAAAGAAAGAAAGAAAGAAAGAAAGAAAGAAAGGAAGGAAGGAAGGAAGGAAAAGAAAGAAAGAGAAAGGAGAGAAAGAAAGGGUUAUGACGUUGGGAAGCAUGUUUUUUAAAAUUGUGGAAUGUUCUCAUCUCUGAAAUGUUAAUAUCUGACAGCUAGUUCAGAAUGUCUUACUUCCUAGGUUUUCACUAAAAUUUAAAGUUACUAAGAAUCAGAAUGGCAAUUAAUAUAUUAUUCUGUAUAUAAAAUGUGUGAGAGAAGAUGUGUUUUUACAGAGAAAAACAAAUUAUUUUGUCUAAUUCAUAAGUUAUGUAAAGGUUGAUACAAAUUAUGGACCAUGGUAAACUUUUGUCCUAAAAUAAAAUAAUUGGUCAUUUUAAAAAAAAAAAAAACAAAGAAAGAAAGAAAAUCUAGGACAAAAACGAAGUCCAAGCAUGUUGAAUGGUUUGUGUAAAUAAGUAGUAAAAUACUCUUUAAAAUCUGAUAGAAAAUUGGAGACAUUUGGCUAAUUAACAUUGCUCAUAGCUAAAGAUCUUAGUAUUGAUGAAGGUAAAUUAAGAAAUACUGUAAAGAAAUAUAUUGGCAGCUUGGCAAUUCUUUUCUUUUUUUUUUUUUAACAUACUUAAGCAUGAAUCCAGAUUUAGCAUGGAGCCAAAUUUUACAUACAGGCUUGCAUUGCUUUGUUUCACACUGUAUUUGCUAUUCUGCAUAGACAGUACUAGCACUAAAGUACUUACUGGUCACGUGCUUGAAGUAAAUUUCUUAAUUGCACAGAAGGUAUAGUGAUGUUGCUGGACUUAGAGACAUUAAUUUGUAUAAUAGGAACAAAAUAUCCAACAUAUGUUUGUUUUAGGCUCUGGAUUAUACUGUAACCUUCAAAGUAAACUGAGUAGGUGAAAAAUUGGGGGUUGGUUUCCAGUUUGUUUUUGCUUUUAAUUUUUAAUUAUUUGCUAUUUGUUCUCCUUUGGGUUUUACUGGUAUAUACACAUAUAAAAAACCAUUGAUAGUUUUAGUUUUUAAUGGAAGGCUUGUAUUUUCUUCUAUGAAUAGUCAUUUUGUUUCCUAUGCAUUUCCAACAAUUCAUUAUUUGCUCUAUUUAUCUAAAGUUCUUAAGCUAUCUUUGUCAGGCCUGCAAAAAUGGAUAGGGGACACCAGCCAUUAAAAAUUUGAUUGGUUUUGCUGACUCUGAUGAUCUAGAGAGCUACAAGAGCUUUAAGCUAUGGGUCAAAAAAGAACCCCUAAAAAACAAAAAACCUUGUUUCUUUAAAUAAGUUCUGAGCAGAAAUAGUAGAUUACUUAUUUAUCUGGAAAAGCAGGUAAGAGAAGAAAUGUUUAGACAGUUUUUUUCCCUAAGGAAAUUCAAUUCAAUCAAUAAUUUGAAUCGGUUUCAGAUCUUUUUCUUUAGGUAAUGAGGAAAAAUUGUGAUAGGGGUACAAAGUUUUAAUGUUCAGGAAAGACUAGCUUUGUCCUUAAAAGAAAUUAUAUUGACUGGGAUUUCUCUCAGACUAUGUUAGUUGUAUUUACCACUAUCAAAACUAAGUGACAUUCACUUGGAUUAAGUAGUAGUAAAAAUGUCAGGCUUUCUAGUGAUUCUUUUUUAUUCCAAAUCUGUUAUCACUAUUAGGCCUUAAUGUGUGUACUUGAAAACAAAAUAUAUUCUAGUAUUAUUCUGUUUUGAAGAUUCUGGAGUUGAAAUCUACCUAAUAGUUGUCAGUACCGUAUCUAGAAACCAGUCUUGGAAAUGUAUGAUGAUGCUCUUUUAAAAUAGCAGAAAAAAAUAUUCUGUGCUUGUUUUUACUUUGUCCCUGUUUCACUGUAUAGUAUUUAAGCAAAAAGAGAUUAUUUAUCUUCAUAUUGAAUUUCCAAAACCGAUAUUUGCAUUUACCAUUUUCUUAAAUGAUGGAGAAUAAAGUUAAUUGUCUUACUUGGAUAAGUUUGGCAUUGGACCUAUCACAUUUUUGAUGCUUUGGGUCACAGUUCUGUCACUACAAUGUUAGAAAUUAGAUAUAUGCAAGGAAUAAUCUAGCCACUUUAAUACAGUGAUUUAAAGUGCUGCAGGCAUUAACUACUAGACACCAAUUCACAGUGCUUUAAUUUGUGACAUGUGAGGGAGAAUGACAGGACUUUCUAUAAUAUAAAUGUCCUAUUAACUAGUCCUUGUACUGUUAAGUUAGGACUUUGACUCUUGGGUCUAAAAAAGGCACAGACUCAUGCCAAAUCUUGAACAUUGACAGUAGUCAAAGCCUUGUUUUCAGACCCAGGAGAAGGUGACAAUCAAAAUGAACAACUUGCCCGAGACACAGGGCUAGAAAUUGAAACUAUUCAAUCCCUGUAGGCCCAGGAACUAUUGUGGAAGAUGUGGGCGCAUGUGAGAUUUUAAGGGCUAAUUUUAAGGGACAAAUUAGUUCAAGGUUUUCUAUAAAUUAAAUGUUAAUAUCAAAAGCACACUGAUGCAAUACCAGUAUCUGGGCCAUUGUGAUGGAAUAACACAGUUUUCUUAGAGCAAUGAUUUUAUCUUUAAUAAAAAACAUUGUAAAAGGUUAUAAAAGACUUCUUACCUUAUGAUCAAACUGAUUCAAAUUAGAUUUGUUUAUAAGGUUUUGUUAAAAUUAGCUUUAACAUUAAUGCAUGAGAUUCCUAAAAUUCUGAUGUCUUAAUAUACGUUAUCAGUAAUAAUUACGAUUAUGUUAAAUUUUUGUAUGUCACAGAAAUAACCAAAUUUUCUUGUCAAUUGUGUCUGUUGAGACUUUUCUCAUCCAUAAUUAUUUUGCUUCAAUUGUUUUUAAAAACAGGCUUAUCAUCAGCUACAGUCUGGAACUUGCUUCUUUUGGGGAAUUCAUUAAAAGAAUCCUUGAAUGCAGGUUUCUGAUAACUUUGGAGAUUUUGCCAUUGGGCUAGAGAGAAAACUUCCAGGAUAUUAAUUGAAAAGCUGAUGUGUUCUUAAAGAUUACUAACCCAAUAUGAAGCAGAGUGGGAGUUGAUUGCAUGGACUGAGCUAAUGGAGGACAGAAAUAAUUUUUAUGGUUUUUUUUUUUUUUUUUUUUUGGUUCUUUGAAACAUUGCUGAUUCUUUUUGUUUUGUUUUUCAGAGUCUGGAGAACACUUUUUCUUUUGAGCUGUUUACAACCUUUAGCAAUUGAGUAGAGUGUACUCUUGUCAAUAGAAUUUGAAGCACAUUUCUCUCUCUGCCUGAUUUCUGUAGAAUUUGUAAACUAUUUGUGAAUAUUCUUAAUUUAUGGCAAUAUGGUUGCUUACAUAAGUUCAAUAAUAAUCUGUUUUCUUUUACAAUGAGACACAGUUGGAGGAACUGGUUAUUUUCCCAGGGCUUUGACUGAAAUGGCCUUGUGAAUGGUUCCAGGAAAGCCAAUUUUGGAGACCCUAUGUGGAUGAUGAUGCUUGCUGUACUUUCUGUGGGUAAUCGGGCCAAGUAUAUGGGACUGAAGCUAAUUUUGCAGGUAGGUUGGUCCUGCUAUGAUUUGUCUUUGGUGGAAGUGGGAGACUAGAGAGAGAAAGAUUGUGUCAUAGAAGGAGACUGCAGUAUUAGAUUAACAUUUGAUUCAUCACCCUUAGUAUGGAGCUGCUUGUAAUGCCCCUCCUCAGCAUGAAGCAGCCAGAAAGAUCAAUGACCAAAUUUCCCAUGAUCGAGGAACUGAAAAUAGAAAGGGGAGACUGAAACUGGUCCAAGUUUUCUACAGAACUAAUGUCUAUUAUUUCUAUUGAAUAAACAUACAAAUUGAUCCCCCCAGUCUUGAAACUCAAGAAAGUUACAUUUGUCUUAUCUCAGUUUCUUUCUCAGGAAACCAACCAUCACACCUCCCAGACAGUAUCAAGGAGGUGAAACUUACCAGAUCACUGCAUCUGGACAAAGAGAUGCCAGACCCCUCACCCAUGAGGAUUGCCUAACUUUCCACCUACUUCCUGUCAACCAACUUCUCUUCCUUACCCCUCCCUAAUUCCUGUUUUCUUAUACAUGGUUACAUUUCUUCCCUGCUAUGUAAACCCCUAAUUUUAGCUAAUUUGAAAGACAAAUUUGAGACUGAUCUCCUAACUCCUCAGCUGCAGCAUCCAAUUAAAGCCUUCUUCCAUGGCAAUACUCAUUGUCUCUUUGAUUGGCAUUCUGUGCUGUGAGCAGCAGGGCCUAGACCAAAUCCCUAGCAUUUUGGUGACAAUAAGUUGGGAUCAUAUGACUGAAUUUGGGACAAUGCAAUGUGGGUGGAAAUUAUGUAAGCCAUUCUAGGCAUGGUCCUUAAAUCCUGACCCUGCGGCUCUCUUUUCCCUUUCAAGGCAACAUAGAGAGACUUGAGUUCCAGGGGGAAAGUUUUAGGAUGGAGAGAAGCCCUCACUGGACUGUGAUGUGGGUGAGAAAUCUGUGUUAAGUCCCUGAGAUAUAGGUGUUUAUUACUACCCCAGCAUAGCUUAGCUGAUUUAAGAGGAGUUAAGAAGCUUCCCUUGCCUUUAAAAGUAUGCUAUAGGUAAGUCCAGGAAUACAAAAGCACUUCCAGAAAGCUCCAGGGAGCUACAGUUUGGGAGAUGGAAGGUCCAGCAGACUAGAGCCAAAAGUAAUACAGUUCUAGCAAUUAAGCCUUUCACUUUGUGCACACAGCUGGCACAUAAACUAGUCCCAGAGCACCUGAGCAAGGAUUAUUUCUAGCAACUUUCACAUUACCAACUCAGAAACAAUUCAAUUCUUUGUCUCCCUUGUGAUGCUCCUUCUGGUAGGUUUUGACUCUCUUUUCCUCCAACAAUAUUAAGUCUGCUCCCCUGUAUCUGACUUUGAGGGGAGGUCACCACUGGUGAAACCAAUGUGUCUUGAAUUAUACUCUUCUAUGGAAGGCCCCACUUAGUAAUUCUGAAAGAUUCAUUAUUCCCACCUAUAAUCUAAAUUACCUGAUGACUUAUCUUGCUAGAAUCAUCAUUUUAAUCUCUAGGUGAAUGUCCAAGAUAUAUAUUAUUAUUAAUAUCUUGACUGCCAUAGUUACUGUAAGACUGCCUGAGAAAACUGUGAUCUCCUUAAAAACAGGGACCACAUUUUGCAUCUUCAUCAUCUCUUUGUGUCCAGCACCAAGCGUGAUGCUUGGUGCGAAGUGAUGUAUGCUUCAUAAAGGCAGGACCAAGGUCUUCACCUCCACCCUACUACACCCAACAGUUCUUUUCUGCUUUUCACUGUGCUUGUGGUGGUGGUUUGACUGGAGUUGGAGGCUGUGUUUUGCCAUAUGUAUCUGCCAAUAUUUCUCUUCAGAGAACUUUUACCUAGGAUGACCUCUUCAAGGUGGCACAAGAGAAUGCCUGAGGGACAUGUCUCUCAACCCCAUGUCCAUUAAUUGUAACAAAAUAGUUGCCUCAUGGCUGGAACACUCCUUUAUCCCUACUGGCAGCACCCAAUAGCUCUGCUGGGCCAGUAGGGUGAAGUCAUAAUUGGAGCACACUUUGCUUAUAGAGAUUAGUUACAAAUGCCAAGUUCAAGGGAGACUGGCCACUGCACCCAAAAUAAACCUGGGAAGCAGCCCUUCUUAUAAUUUUCUCUCAACUGAGGGAGAUAUUCCAAGAAAAAGAAUUCUGGGGACUCAGAUACAGAGAGGCACAGAAUCAUAGAUAUUCAAAGAUGAAAGGGCCUUAAGAUCAUUUUCCAAUCUCCUUACUUUACAGGUGAGAAAAUGGAGGUCCAGAGAGAAAAGUGACUCACCCAAGCUGAAAACAGUUGCAGGAAGAAAAGCCAGGACAGAACUGGGCUGUUAGAAACCUUGGAGUACACUAAAGAUGAGGAACUGAGUCACCGCAAUGCCAAAUGUAACACGCUGUGGGUCAAAAUUUGGAUGGUUGCGUUGGAAAUUAUUCUGAAGCCACAGACAGGGCUAAAAGGUAAGUAUGAAUAAUUAGUAAUGCUUGCCAUAGACAGAUUAAAGUGUUGACAUCACAUAGGACAAGAAUUUGCCACCAAUAGAUGAGAGGAUUGUUGAUGUCCUUGAAUUGGAAAUGAACGAGCUAAUUGGUUAGUUACUUAUUCACUCUAACCCAGAAAGCAGCAGCUUGUGAAAAAAGUUUUUGCUGGUAACACACAGGAAAUAGAAAAUUUAGUAUUUUUUCCAGUGGAAAAGCCCUCUUGUAUCACCAAGCAGAAGAGAACAUGAUGUCUUUUCUUUUGAUGUAAUUUAGGAUGAUUCACAAAGUGUUCAUAGCAGGGAAGCUGAUGGAAAAGUGACAUGCCCCUAGACUUGAGAGAUGCUCUCUAAGUUUAAAAAGGAAACAGCUUAUUGUAAAAUUUAUUUGAAUCCUACAACCUUCCCAUAUCUGUGUAAUUAGCAAAAAGACAAGCUGCAACCAGAGAGGUAAAGUAUCAAUUUAUCUCAUACUUAUUUAUUGAGAACAUCCUCUGAGCUGUGUACUAUGUUAGGCAGAGAAAACAAACAAUAAGCAAGACACAGUCCCUGACUCCAUAUGAUUAUCAGGGAGGCUAGGAAAAGUCAUCUCUGCUUGGACAACUCCUUUCCAGAAAUACCUCUCUUCUCUUAAAGGGACAUGCACAUGUACAUAUUAUAAUAAAUGAAUCGAGGAAAUAUAUAAUAUUUAUAUAUAAUAUAUAAAUAUA
rnacentral:lncRNA from 10 species